rnacentral:rRNA from 1 species
AGAGUGAACGCUGGCGGUAGGCCUAACACAUGCAAGUCGAACGGCAGCACAGUGGUAGCAAUACCAUGGGUGGCGAGUGGCGGACGGGUGAGGAAUACAUCGGAAUCUACCUUUUCGUGGGGGAUAACGUAGGGAAACUUACGCUAAUACCGCAUACGCCCUUCGGGGGAAAGCCGGGAUCGCAAGACCUGGCGCGGAUAGAUGAGCCGAUGUCGGAUUAGCUAGUUGGUGAGGUAAUGGCUACACCAAGGCGACGAUCCGUAGCUGGUCUGAGAGGAUGAUCACGCACACUGGAACUGAGACACGGUCCAGACUACCGUACGGGAGGCAGCGAGGUGGGAAUAGUUAGGACAAGU